rnacentral:rRNA from 1 species
AUUGAACGCUGGCGGCAUGCCUUACACAUGCAAGUCGAACGGCAGCGCGGGAGCAAUCCUGGCGGCGAGUGGCGAACGGGUGAGUAAUACAUCGGAACGUGCCCAAUCGUGGGGGAUAACGCAGCGGAAGCUGUGCUAAUACCGCAUACGAUCUACGGAUGAAAGCAGGGGAUCGCAAGACCUUGCGCGAAUGGAGCGGCAGAUGGCAGAUUAGGUAGUUGGUGAGGUAAAGGCUCACCAAGCCUUCGAUCUGUAGCUGGUCUGAGAGGACGACCAGCCACACUGGGACUGAGACACGGCCCAGACUCCUACGGGAGGCAGCAGUGGGGAAUUUUGGACAAUGGGCGCAAGCCUGAUCCAGCCAUGCCGCGUGCAGGAUGAAGGCCUUCGGGUUGUAAACUGCUUUUGUACGGAACGAAACGGCUCUUUCUAAUAAAGAGGGCUAAUGACGGUACCGUAAGAAUAAGCACCGGCUAACUACGUGCCAGCAGCCGCAGUAACAC